rnacentral:snoRNA from 1 species
CCAGCCGAAAGCCGCACCACGUGUUGCCCAUUCCAAGAAAAAUAAACUAAAUUAGCACGAUGGCUAAUAGAAAACGCAACAAAAUUUUGCUUAAUACAAUAGAGAAAGAUAUGUCAAAUAGCUGAAAGUUAUAUGGUAACUAAAAGAUGUGCGGAUCACGAGAAACGAGCAAUUCACUUUGACAGCCUGGCAGCUGUGACCCAAAGAGUCUCACUUUGAGACUUCUUGGGACCAACCAGCAUGGGAAGUUUACGCGGUAAGAAUAAUACAGAAAGAAGAUCUCCACAACCAUGAUGAAAUCGUUAGAUGGGGACAACUGAUUACUGUGACUGAUUCAUCUCGAUAGUAGAUCUGAUUUUAAAAAUGUUGCUAGCCUACGUGCUUUCAUGUUCAACAGCACUAAAAUAACUCGUUCUUUUUAUAUAAUGCAGAAAACUGAUGUUUCUGACUGAAAACCGACGAAAGAAUGGUUUCCACACUUGUAAGUAUAAUGAUUGCUAAAGAUUUAUGAUUUUUUUUUUUUUGUGAUGAAAUCGUUAGAUAGGGACGUCUGAUAUCUGUGACUGAUUUAUCUCGAUAGUAGAUCUGAUUUUAAAAAUACUGUUAGCUUGCGUGAUUUUAUGUUCAACAACACUACAAUAACUCUUUCUUUUUAGAUAAUGCAGAAAAACUGAUGUUUCUGACUGAAAACCGACGAAAGAAUGAUUUCCACACUUGUAAGUAUAAUGAUUGCUAAAGAUUUAUGAUUUUUUUUUGUGAUGAAAUCGUUAGAUAGGGACGUCUGAUAUCUGUGACUGAUUUAUCUCGAUAGUAGAUCUGAUUUUUAAAAUAUUGUUAGCUUGCGUGAUUUUAUGUUCAACAACACUACAAUAACUCUUUCUUUUUAGAUAAUGCUGAAACCCGAAUUUCUCUGACAGAAACCCUACGUAAGAAGGAUUUCCACACUUGUAAGUUUAAAGUGUUAUGUGUACGUAUAUAUAAAUAUGGGAGUAUUUGAGGCCAAGUCUUAAGCUAUUGUCUAGGAAACAAAAUACCAAAUACAAAAACGAAACUAAGGGUAUUCUUUAAAACAACAUGAAUUUUGUUUGUAUUUAUUAAAUCUAUGAAAAUGAUCCGUAAACAAAAGUAAAGAAAAAUAAUUUUGCACAUAUUUUUUUUAGGAAAUCUUUAGAACUGUCUGUAAAAAUAUAUAUUUAGAGUAACCCCUGAAUAAUGAUUAAAUACUUAUGCAUAAUUUUUAUUUAUUUUACAGGGCUCCCUUGCAUGAUGCCAGAAAAGUGGACGUAAAAAAUCUAAUAAAAUUAUAUUUAUAGAAACA